CUCCAUCUUGAACCGUGAGAACUGCUACUGUUGGUAAGUUGCAUUGCCACUGCCCUUACCGGAGGUAGUUGCUGGCUGCGUUUGAAGAUUUCAGUUGCAACUAGCGUUCGUUCUGGGACUGCUUCAUCUAUUGCUGGAACCACUAACUGAACAGGCUGAGUCACGGUGAUUCUAGCUGCCAAGGGCAGUUCUGUGGCUGUCGGAACCACCGUUGAGGCUUCUGUUAUUUGGUUCAGACGAUAUUCUUUAGUUACAGAUUAAGUUAUCGGAGCCACAUGUUGCGCCGUGAGGGUUGUCCUUGCUACUGCGAGAGU